GAUGUUUCUAUUGGAAAACAAUUUUUUUUUGCAACAUUUAGUGUCAUGACUAUGAAUUUAUAACUUGUUGGAUGGAUGAAUAAAGACUUUAAAAACCUGCAGAAACCCUAAUAAAGUAAUUCAUUUUGUGUAAUUCAACUCAUUCUCAAUAUACUGUGUGUUUCUUUUUAAUUGAUGAAUCAAAUCUAAUGUUUGUGAAGAAUAUAUGAAAAAAAAUAUUUCAUAAUAAAAACUCUUAGGAAGAAAGCAAACGUAUAUAUAUAUAUAUAAAAAAGGAAAAAUACAUAUCCUUCUGGUACUGUAAAAAUACUAACCAAAGCAUUUACACUGGUGUAGGACCUUCCGUGCUUUCCACAUUUCAAUCUCUUCAUGAAAUGGCGUAACCCUCACAGGUUGUUGUCUUCUGUCGGCCUCUGCUUCAUCUUCCGCACUCUUAUGAAAGCUCUGAUGGCCAACACGGCGCUUACGGGGAAUAUAAUAAUCCCCAGAACACCAAACA